UACGAAGGGGGCUAGCGUGGUUCGGAUUUACUGGGCGUAAAGCGCACGUAGGCGGAUCGUUAAGUCGGGGGUGAAAUCCUGGAGCUCAACUCCAGAACUGCCUUCGAUACUGGCGAUCUAGAGUCCGGAAGAGGUGAGUGGAACUCCUAGUGUAGAGGUGGAAUUCGUAGAUAUUAGGAAGAACACCAGUGGCGAAGGCGGCUCACUGGUCCGGUACUGACGCUGAGGUGCGAAAGCGUGGGGAGCAAACAGG
rnacentral:rRNA from 1 species